AAAUGAUAAAGGCAAACUUGUCGAAAGGCAAGGACGCAAAGCCAUGGGUCUAAGGUUUGUGUAACUAUGAUUGCCAGGCUGCCAUU
rnacentral:ncRNA from 1 species